GUGCUCACUUUGGUAGCACAGAGACUAAAAUUGGAAUGAUACAGAGAUUAGCACAGCCCCUGUUCGGAGAUGACUCGAAAAUUCCUGAAGGGUUCCAUAAAAAC